CCCUUCGAGGGUGAGUGGCGCACGGGUGCGUAACGCGUGGGAACCUGCCUUUAGGUUCGGAAUAACAGUUAGAAAUGACUGCUAAUACCGGAUAAUGUCUUCGGACCAAAGAUUUAUCGCCUUUAGAUGGGCCCGCGUUAGAUUAGAUAGUUGGUGGGGUAAUGGCCUACCAAGUCGACGAUCUAUAGCUGGUCUGAGAGGAUGAUCAGCCACACUGGGACUGAGACACGGCCCAGACUCCUACGGGAGGCAGCAGUGGGGAAUAUUGGACAAUGGGCGAAAGCCUGAUCCAGCAAUGCCGCGUGAGUGAUGAAGGCCUUAGGGUUGUAAAGCUCUUUUACCAGGGAUGAUAAUGACAGU
rnacentral:rRNA from 1 species